rnacentral:siRNA from 1 species
CAUUCUUCAUGUUGUCACUCUAAG